rnacentral:tRNA from 1 species
GGUAAGGUGGCUCAGUGGCAGAGCACUUGCCUUGCAUGCAUGAGGCCCUGGGUUCGAUUCCUCAGCACCA